rnacentral:lncRNA from 1 species
CGAUCUAUGUGUAACAUACUGUUACUUAUUGUUGUGAGCUGAAUUCUUUGACCGUUGACUCAGUCAAAUAUUUUCCUUCAGGAAACACACAAGAAUGUAAAGCGGCUUCUGAUAGUGACCUCGAAGUUUGUGCCUAUAAAUGAAUCAAGUGAUUCGGCCGAUGAGGGAACUGAUUAGUCUAGUUCAAAUAUUAUAUUGUAUAUUCAGUUCGGCUGAAGAGCCGAAUAAUGCAAAUAUAUACCGCCAAAAGAAGAAAAAUUAUUUAUAGAAAGGGGAGUGCCGCUAACGUGUUUGGUCUUAGAGAAACCACUAACUUAGAACUACUAGAAAAACAAGAGAUGUAGAGAAAGAAGAGAUUAUAAGUAGAGUACUCCUAGAAAGCAGAAAAGUGCACGAAAAUAAAUUGGUCUUCUUGUUCUUGUGGAAAAAGACCUCUCCGUCAAGCAUCUUUUGUCUAUUUAUAGUCUCGCCCGUUGUUUAUUCAGUUAUUUCCCAUUAUCGGCCAAGUCCCUAAUUCUGCAGACCACUCUCGGCCAAUCUUAACUGCAUCAAUUUUAACUGCUUUUCGAUUUUUAGCUGCCUUUUUCUCAAAUCUUGGCGCAUCACAUGUUAUUUAUUUCAGGUCUUGGGAACUAUCUCUGUGGUGCUCCUCGGUUCACCAUGUGGCGAAACUUUUAUGGUGCCAACAAUUCCCCCCCCAUGCAGCUCUCGAACGAUAGUUCAGGUCUUUCCAUCAUCAAAGCCCUCUUUUCAAAAUUCCCUCCGACGGCUUUUCUUCUCUCACACUUUUUUGUUUUCCCCCUUUUCAUUCUCUUCUCUCUCAAUCUAAGAAUUUUCUUCUCACGCCUCUUCAUCUGUUCCUUCUCUAUUCUCCUUAGCUUCCAAGUUUUCUUUCAAUGGCUCCGAUUCCUUCUCUUCCUUCAUCUCAUUCUCUUGACUAUAUAUACUUUCCU